CAAUACAGUGAGACGUCUUAUUCAUUGAAAUUUGAAAUCCCUGUAUGCAAUUAUCAUCAGCACCAUGUGAUAAGAGUCAACCGUUACAAUGUGAAGAACACAACCUAUGUUUGAAUAAAUAGAUUUUCUUUCCUGAAAGAAUGAAAGAAAAAGAAGAAGAAAUUUUGCGUUUUGUGUGCAAAAGUUUGCGAUAUUAAGGUAGGAAGGGACCGAUGCACCAUCCUUAUCCUUCAUGGGACUUUUUGAGGUGGAAAGGAUCUGAUUUUCACAAGCAUGUUUUCUCCACUUAUGUGGAAUUUUGAGAUGGGAAAUCAAAAGAGAUGUUGAUUUGGCUUCUUUGGUGGGAACUCCCAUAAUGGUAUUCAAAUGUUCAAGGCAUCCAUCAGGUGGACUACUGCAAAAAAAAUAA